UACGUAGGGUGCAAGCGUUGUCCGGAAUUAUUGGGCGUAAAGAGCUCGUAGGCGGCUUGCCACGUCGACUGUGAAAACCCGGGGCUCAACUCCGGGCCUGCAGUCGAUACGGGCUGGCUUGAGUGCGGUAGGGGAGACUGGAAUUCCUGGUGUAGCGGUGAAAUGCGCAGAUAUCAGGAGGAACACCGGUGGCGAAGGCGGGUCUCUGGGCCGAUACUGACGCUGAGGAGCGAAAGCGUGGGGAGCGAACAGG
rnacentral:rRNA from 1 species